AUAAUAUGAUGAUAACCUCAUGCGUGUCAUUUGAAUGCAGCUAAUGUAUUUCUUAACCUGUGCUGUUUGUAGGUGUUUUACCUACAGGUGGUAGGGUUUAGAAUACUAAGAUUGCAUACAUGAUACAAGUUGGCUUCUGAUUAU